AGAAAAUGAAGUUGUAAUGCGAAUGGCGCCAUCCCUCCUCCCCUGUAAAAGGAGUAAGGACUCUCCAGGCCCUGAGUAUAUACUAUUAUAUAUUCCUUUCGCUUCUGCUUUUUAUUGUCGAGACCUGCCGAUAUACCUCUUGUGUGAGGCACCGAAAGCAACCUGAAAAACACGAAAAAUGGGAAAGAAGAGACAAAAGAAAACAGAGCAACAAGAAAACCCUAAUGUUGCUGAAGCUGCUCGGAUUCGAAUUUCCCAAAUACUAGAGCAGUUCCGUGCUGCUAAGGAUCAAGUGUACACAUUUGAAGCUAAUUUAUCAAACCGUGAACGUGCUGUGGUGCAUGAAGUAUGCAAGAAAAUGGGUAUGAAAUCCAAGAGUUCUGGACGUGGGAAUCAGCGACGAGUCUCUGUUUACAAGAAUACAAAGAAUGCAGACACUGCAAAGGCAAAGGACAAUAUCACAUGUUUGAAUUUUUCAGAAGAAUCAAAACUCGUGUUGCAAGAAUUAUUUGCAAACUACCCACCUGAGGAUGGAGAGUUUGGUGCAAAAAUAGUUGGAAUUCGGAAAGGAAAGAAUAGUAAAAUUCGAGGAAUGAAAGAUGAUAUCUUCAGUAUGCCUUCAAUGACCAAAGCAGAUAUCAAAAAGAGAGUGGAAUCGCUGAAUUCUAGAAUAGAAAAGGCUGCAAACUUAAGACAGAUCGUUGAAGAGAGAUCUAGGCUUCCAAUUGCAUCCUUUAGGGAUGUCAUUACAUCCUCUGUAGAUUCUCACCAGGUUGUUCUUAUUUCUGGUGAGACUGGGUGUGGAAAGACUACACAGGUCCCACAAUUUUUAUUGGACCAUAAGUGGGGAAAAGGCGAGGCCUGUAAAAUAGUCUGCACACAACCUCGUCGUAUCUCAGCAACAUCAGUUGCUGAAAGAAUAUCUUAUGAAAGAGGAGAAAAUAUUGGAGAUGAUAUUGGGUACAAGAUUCGGUUAGAAAGUAAAGGUGGAAGAAACUCAUCAAUUGUGUUCUGCACAAAUGGGGUUCUACUGAGGGUGCUGGUUUCCAGGGGCACUAGUCGGUUGAAGAGGGAAGCUUCUAAUAAAUCGGGCAAGGAUGAUGUUUCUAACAUAACUCACAUUAUUGUGGAUGAAAUUCAUGAAAGGGAUCGCUACUCGGAUUUCAUUUUGGCAAUUAUCAGGUAAUUCAUUGUUGAAUUCAAAUUCUCAACUUCUUUGCUUGCUUUACUCUGGUGGGGACUUCAAUCGGGUUAAUAAAUUUUUUAUAUUGAUUAUUGUGACUGUAAAUUGGAAAUUCAAGUGGGGAACUGGGGAUAUUAAUGUGGAACAGUUGCUGUGUAGUUCUUUUGUUUUAUGUAUAGUACUUGAAUAUCAUUGUUGGAUUACUUUUGCUGAUGUUCUUGACUUGCAGAGACAUACUUCCUUCGUAUCCUCAUCUUCGGCUGGUUAGUUCAAAUUCUUAUGCUCUAUAUAUGUAUAAAUGCAUCCACUUUUCAGGCAUUGUUUCUUUUACUUUCAGCUGUUAGAUUCCAAUUACUGUUCCUUAUAUUAUAUUUUACCCAACAGAUAAUGAUGAGUGCUACCCUUGAUGCUGAACGUUUUUCACAAUAUUUUGGUGGCUGCCCAAUUAUCUGUGUUCCUGGGUUCACGUAUCCUGUUAAAAGUUUCUACUUGGAGGAUGUACUUUCUAUUCUAAAAUCUCCAGAUAAUAAUCAUAUUGAUUCUGCCAUGCCAAGUGCCCCCCAAAAAAGCCACGAGCUUACAGAAGAAGACAAAGCUGCUUUAGAUGAAGCUAUCAAUUUGGCUUGGACAAAUGAUGAAUUCGAUACCCUCCUGGAUUUGAUUUAUUCUGAAGGAACCCCAAAGGUUUAUAAUCACCAUGAUUCUUUGACUGGACUAACGCCACUAAUGGUCUUUGCUGGAAAGGGCAGAGUGGGUGAUGUUUGCAUGCUUCUCUCUGUUGGCGCGGAUUGUCAUUCACAGGACAAGAAUGGACUAACAGCAUUGGAUUGGGCCAAGCGAGAAAACCAGCAAGAAACUGCUGAAGUAAUAAAAGGACAUGUUGAAAGUGCCUUGACUGACACCCUGGAACAAAAACAAUUAGUUGACAAAUACCUAGCUACAAUUAACCCUGAACUUAUUGAUUUUGUUCUUAUAGAGCAGUUACUGAGGAAGAUAUGUAUUGAUUCAAAAGAUGGUGCAGUCCUUGUUUUCCUUCCUGGGUGGGAUGAUAUAAAUAAGACUAGGGAGAGGUUAUUUGCAAACCCAUUUUUUAAAGAUUCUUCCAAGUUUAUGAUGAUCUCUCUCCAUUCAAUGGUUCCAUCUAUGGAGCAAAGGAAAGUUUUCAAACGGCCACCUCAGGGUUGCCGCAAAAUCAUUCUUUCCACUAAUAUUGCAGAAAGUGCCAUUACAAUUGAUGAUGUUGUCUAUGUCAUAGAUAGUGGUCGAAUGAAAGAAAAAAGUUAUGAUCCUUAUAACAAUGUAUCAACCCUUCAGUCUUCUUGGGUAUCCAAAGCAAGUUCAAGGCAGCGUGAGGGACGUGCAGGCCGCUGUCAGCCUGGGAUAUGCUAUCAUCUCUUUUCGAAGCUUCGGGCAGCUUCUUUGCCGGAUUUUCAAGUUCCUGAAAUUAGGCGAAUGCCAAUUGAAGAUCUCUGUUUGCAAGUGAAGUUGAUCGAUCCCAAUUGCAAGAUAGAAGAUUUCCUGCGGAAGACACUGGAUCCUCCAGUUCCUGAAACCAUACAUAACGCAAUCACUGUUCUCCAGGAUAUUGGGGCUUUAUCACUAGAUGAACAAUUGACAGAACUAGGAGAGAAGCUAGGCUGCCUACCUGUUCAUCCAUUGACAAGCAAGAUGCUUUUCUUUGCAAUAUUGAUGAAUUGCCUCGACCCAGCUUUGACAUUGGCUUGUGCCUCCGACUAUAGAGAUCCAUUUACCCUUCCUGUGUUGCCUAAUGAAAAGAAGAGAGCUACUGCUGCUAAAUUUGAUUUUGCUUCACUGUAUGGUGGGCACAGUGAUCAGCUAGCAGUUAUAGCAGCCUUUGAGUGCUGGAAAAAUGCUAAAGGAAGGGGCCAAGAAGCAUGGUUUUGUUCUCAGUACUUUAUCUCUUCGAGCACCAUGAAUAUGCUGCAUGGUAUGCGUAAGCAGCUUGAGUCGGAACUAAUUCGUAAUGGGUUCAUUCAGGAAGAUGUCUCAUGCUGUAAUCUGAAUGCACAUGACCCUGGAAUAAUCCGUGCUGUGCUUGUUGCUGGUAUGUAUCCUAUGGUGGGGAGAUUCCUUCCACCUAGAAAUGGGAAGCGUUUUCAUGUAGAAACCGCAACUGGUGCUAAAGUUCGGUUGCACCCUCAUUCCCUUAUUUUUAAAUUAUCAUUUAAAAAAACUGAUGACUGCCCUUUGAUUGUAUAUGACGAGAUAACCCGUGGGAAUGGGGGUAUGCAUAUAAGGAACUGUACUGUUGUUGGGCCACUCCCAUUGUUAUUACUUGCAACAGAGAUCGUAGUUGCUCCUCCGAAGGAUGACAAUGAGGAAGAUGAUGAGGGUGAUGAUGAUGACAAUAAUGGAAGUGACGAUGCAGGUGAAGAUGAAAGUGAUGAGGAUGAGAUGGAAACAGAUGGCAAAUUGGGUGGAAACAAUUAUGAGAAAAUCAUGUCAUCUCCUGAUAAUUCAGUUACAGCAGUUGUGGACCGCUGGCUUUAUUUUGGGUCAACAGCCCUUGAUGUUGCUCAGAUUUACUGCUUGCGAGAGCGAUUAUCAGCAGCAGUCUUAUUCAAAGUAAAACAUCCUCGGGAAGUACUUCCUCCUGCCCUUGAGGCCUCAAUGCAUGCAGCUGCUUGUGUUCUCUCUUAUGAUGGGCUAUCCGGGAUAUCAUUACCUUUAGAGUCUGUAGACUCGCUGACAUCAAUGAUCCGUGCGACUGGGAUUAACAACUCUGCUCCAGGGAGGAGGAUGGGGCCAGGCCAGAAUUCAAAUGACUUCCUUAAAUCACUGAUUAGCCCUAACAUUCAGCAUACUGGUCCUUCGCAUUAUCACAAAGCUAGAUUUACAGGAUUCCAGAGGAAAUCAAACGGAAAUGAACUGUCAAGCCAAGAUUUUAUACCACCUGGUAAGAUCCCUUAUCAAAGGCCUCCAAUGCAGGGUCCCAAUUCAGUUGGUUACGAUUCAGGUACUCAUGAAUCUUCGAAUCCCAGGGGUGAUUCAUCUAAGCGGCAGCGUGGAAAUGCAUCCAAGAAGCAGUGGUUUAACUUUUAGAUUAAAUUGUAUAUUGUACACAGGAAAAUCCAGCUGCCUGCUGCCUUUUGCCUUUGCUGGAAUGGACCUAAAAUGGCUAGACUUUUCGAUCUCAUUAAUGACACAAGUUCAUCGAAAACUUGAAGCUUGAUGACUUCGAUUGCACUUGCUCUUAGUUUAGACAAUGAUCAGUUGGAAAUGUUUUACAUGAAAAACGUUUUUGAAAUUAGUGCCUAGAUAAAAUCACUGCUAGAGAUUUCUUCUCUUUUUCAUUGACAAUAAUUUUUACAUUGUGUUGGAUUCCAUUCUUCAUGAAAAAUCAGGUAUUUUCCUGGGUUGUAAAAGAACGGCAGGUUUGCUAAUAAGUUUACAGUUAACUGCAUGUUUGGUUUAUCUUGAAAAUAAA
rnacentral:misc_RNA from 1 species